CACAUUUGUAGGCGGUUACCUCAAAAGAUCUUUUGUAUCAAGAUACUGUACCAGUGACGAACAUUUUUUUGAUUCCCGGGAAGUGUCAUACUGCUGGAGCUUCUAAGAAUACAACGAUAAAAGAAGAACUCACCGCCGAAGAGCUUCUUACUCUAUAGGUCCCGUGGCAGUGCAUUCUUCUCCAUGAAACAUGAUCUUCGAGGGCUCCGUUGCUGAGAUGACAUUUCAAACUCUCAACUGCCUACAUGUGUGGUUGGCGAGCUUCAAGGAUAGUUUCCUUCUGAGUCAAUGAGCGAAGGGAAGACGCUUAAAACUAUGGUUUCGUAAAUUUUGUAUAAACGUGCCACCAAGGAGCAACCGGACCACCGCACUUCCGUGCGACUAAGGGGUUCCACCUUCUGGCCCAAAAAACAGCCGUCUCCCACCUUUCCUGCCCAACGCCUCAAGAUACAUUUUCAAGAAAUGGUAGAAAUUUCAUCCAUCGUGCACAGUCAAACUCAGUGCGUUUUUCC